rfam:Astyanax mexicanus Tnplaced_Scaffold4549, whole genome shotgun sequence.
GGCAUUGUGGCCAAAUGGCAAGGUGUCGAUCUCGUAAACCGAAGAUCACGGGUUCGACCCCCGUCCGUGCCU